UUGUCCCAACCAAACAUCUCAUAUGAAUUGACGUUGUAGAUUUUUCAGGUGAUACUUGCAAUAUAAGGUCCUCUUUUAGCAAUUGAAAGGGAAAUGUAGAGCAACAGGAAAAAAGAAUUUCCACAUUUGAAGACAUUGAUUGUCAAAUCUGAUUCUGCUUGUAAAAUUUUGAGUACAGUUCUCACCUUAAUUGUUCAUUUAGUUUUGAGAAUGUGUUUUCUAACUUAUUAUAAUCUUCCUUCUUUUUGAGAAGGUGAAUUUGUAAGGUGCAAUCCUUUAUUUUCCCUUUUUAUGGUUAAUACUUUGUACAAUAUGUGAUUCAUAUAAAUGACACGUGCUAUUAGAGAACUAUAAUGAAUCCAAGAUAUUUGAUUUUAUGUCUAAAGCAGCUACACAAUUAUUUUUGUUGUUUCCUUUCUCCACAGGUGUUCUAUGAGCUACUCUUCAACAUGUUUGCAUCAGCUCCUCUUGUACCUAAGAGAAAGUGCAAGAGAUGCACUUGUUCUCCUCUGAAAAUAAUGCUUUACCAGGAGCACGAGGACUCCCAACUAAUGGACAACUUUAGAAUCCAACUUAAAACACUAUGAUCAGUCUUCAGAUGGAUAUAUAUAAUAUGUUACAAGUAAAAAGUUCCAAUUUUCCUUAUGGCAGAAAAAAAGUGAACACCACAGAUGCCAAAAGGUUCCAUGUCUUGUUGAAAGGAUCCUAAUAAAAUAUGGGUGUAAAACCAAAAAGGUUCCACGUCUUGUUGAAAGGAUCCUAAUAAAAUAUGGGUAUUUUCUUUAUCGUAGAAAAAAGUGAACAACAUAUAUACCAAAAGGUUCCAUGUCCUGUUGAAAGGAUCCUAAUAAAAUAUGGGUGUAAAACCAAAAAGGUUCGAUGUCUUAUUGAAAGGAUCGUAAUAAAAUAUAGGUGUAAAACCAAUGUAUCAAACUUGCAUCAAAACUAUAAUUC
rnacentral:lncRNA from 1 species